GUUCUUCUUAGUUGAAAGCUUUGGCUAAAAGCUGUUCUUGGGUGCUUUGAAAUUUAUCGUAAAAGCUGCUUGUUUGGAAUGGUUAUGGCCACAAUAGGCCAAAAGCACCAUCAAAGAAGGCUUUGACUGCUUGUGGAUAAAGCAUCCAAACAUGUGCCUUGGCAAAACUCAAAAGUAGCUGCAAUGGCAUCCCUAAACUGACGCAUAUAGAAGCAUUUUGUUUAACUGUACAUGCUUUGUUUACGUGCAUUAUGUAAGAACAAUCAGUAGUAUUGAAGUUGAGCAAAGUUAAGAGAUAAAGAGGACCAUAUAUUGGGAGACUGGCAUUUUGAGAAUCCAAGAUAAUGCUGAUGCUUUAAUGAGACACAGAUGACUGGCUCAAGUAGAGGCUUUCAUGUGAAUGUCUGUAAUGUAUCCCUGGAUGGAGUCUUGCUCUGUGCGAAAGGAAAGGCUUUCUUUUUUUCCAAAUAGGCAAAAUUGCAGUGGCCAACAGUUUUACUUCGUUUGGAAAUUUUUUUUACUCGGCAAAGAAGUUGGUGGCUUUUCCUAGAAAGGACCAUAACAUGAGCUAUUGUUUCUGUUUCCAUUUAGAAGAGUUCACUCCUAGUAUUAAACUCUAUUAUUAUUGUUGUCAUUGUUGUUGCUAGUAUUAGUAAAUUGGUGAUAGCAUUAGACUUGAAAAGUAUUGCUUUUUGAUUGUGACUGGACUUCAAAAGUUCCAGACUACUUCCAGCUAGGGGUCUUGUAAGUGAAGGCUGUUGCCUUGGUUAACCGUAGGGUAGACUAUUCUAUAUAUGCUAUGUCUUUUAUAUCUCCUCCCUCCCCCUUCUUUAUUUUCUUUAUUUUUAUUUAAGUUUUGUACACUGUACUGCUUGAUAUUAAUUCUUUAUUUGUUGUACAAAGUAUAAACAUAAUGCACAUUUAGUCUAGACUUUAGAUUAAUUGCUUCAUCCUAAAUAAUAGCAAGAAGCAAAGUGGAACUUCCUUUCUAAUGUAUUACUUUUAUUCUUGUAUGCCCUUUUCAUUAGGUGAUACUUCACAGUAGUCCUGGGUUAUAUUUCAAUUGCUUAUGUUUUUGUGAGUGUUACCGUAAGUUUAACGACAUUCAACAAUUACAGCCUGUACUGAAUUUUGCAGAAAGAAAAUGUCCAGCCUAGAGAA
rnacentral:misc_RNA from 1 species